rnacentral:tRNA from 1 species
GGAGUUGUGGCUCAGUGGUAGAAUGCUCGCCUAGCAAGCGUGAGGCCCUGGGUUCUAACCUCAGCACCA